rnacentral:rRNA from 1 species
UACGAAGGGGGCUAGCGUUGUUCGGAAUUACUGGGCGUAAAGCGCACGUAGGCGGAUACUUAAGUUAGGGGUGAAAUCCCGGGGCUCAACCCCGGAACUGCCUUUGAUACUGGGUAUCUGGAGUCCGAGAGAGGUGAGUGGAAUUCCUGGUGUAGCGGUGGAAUGCGCAGAUAUCAGGAGGAACACCAAUAGCGAAGGCAGCUCGCUGGGACGGUACUGACGCUAAGGCGCGAAAGCGUGGGGAGCGAACAGG